GGCGUCUAAUACCGGAUACGAGCUGCGACCGCAUGGUCAGUAGCUGGAAAGAAUUUCGGUCAGGGAUGAGCUCGCGGCCUAUCAGCUUGUUGGUGAGGUAAUGGCUCACCAAGGCGUCGACGGGUAGCCGGCCUGAGAGGGUGACCGGCCACACUGGGACUGAGACACGGCCCAGACUCCUACGGGAGGCAGCAGUGGGGAAUAUUGCACAAUGGGCGAAAGCCUGAUGCAGCAACGCCGCGUGAGGGAUGACGGCCUUCGGGUUGUAAACCUCUUUUAGCAGGGAAGAAGCGAAAGUGACGGUACCUGCAGAAAAAGCGCCGGCUAACUACGUGCCAGCAGCCGCGGUAAUACGUAGGGCGCAAGCGUUAUCCGGAAUUAUUGGGCGUAAAGAGCUCGUAGGCGGUCUGUCGCGUCUGCUGUGAAAACCCGAGGCUCAACCUCGGGCCUGCAGUGGGUACGGGCAGACUAGAGUGCGGUAGGGGAGAUUGGAAUUCCUGGUGUAGCGGUGGAAUGCGCAGAUAUCAGGAGGAACACCGAUGGCGAAGGCAGAUC
rnacentral:rRNA from 1 species